CACGUAGGGCGCAAGCGUUGUCCGGAAUUAUUGGGCGUAAAGAGCUCGUAGGCGGUCUGCCACGUCCGCUGUGAAAACCUAGGGCUUAACCCUGGGCUUGCAGUAGAUACGGGCAGACUAGAGGUAGGUAGGGGAGAAUGGAAUUCCCGGUGUAGCGGUGAAAUGCGCAGAUAUCGGGAGGAACACCGGUGGCGAAGGCAGUCUCCUGGCAAGUUACUGACGCUCAGGUGCGAAAGCUAGGGGAGCGAACAGG
rnacentral:rRNA from 1 species